GGUUCGAUUCUGGCUCAGAUUGAACGCUGGCGGGAUGCUUUACACAUGCAAGUCGAACGGCAGCACGGACUUCGGUCUGGUGGCGAGUGGCAACGGGUGAGUAAUGUAUCGGAACGUGCCUAGUAGCGGGGGAUAACUACGCGGCGUAGCUAAUACCGCAUACGCCCUUCGGGGAAAAGCGGGGACCUUCGGGCCUCGCACUAUUAAGAGCAGCCGAUAUCGGAUUAGCUAGUUGGUGGGGUAACGGCUCACCAAGGCGACGAUCCGUAGCUGGUUUGAAGGACGACCAGCCACACUGGGACUGAGACACGGCCCAGACUCCUACGGGAGGCAGCAGUGGGGGAAUUUUGGACAAUGGGGGAAACCUGAUCCAGCCAUCCCGCGUGUGCGAUGAAGGCCCUUCGGGUUGUAAAGCACUUUUGGCAGGAAAGAAACGGCACGGGAUAAUACCCCGUGCAGCUGACGGUACCUGCAGAAUAAGCACCGGCUAACUACGUGCCAGCAGCCGCGGUAAUACGUAGGGUGCAAGCGUUAAUCGGAAUUACUGGGCGUAAAGCGUGCGCAGGCGGUUCGGAAAGAAAGAUGUGAAAUCCCAGAGCUUAACUUUGGAACUGCAUUUUUAACUACCGAGCUAGAGUGUGUCAGAGGGAGGUGGAAUUCCGCGUGUAGCAGUGAAAUGCGUAGAUAUGCGGAGGAACACCGAUGGCGAGAGCGGCAACCUCCUGGGAUAACACUGACGCUCAUGCACGAAAGCGUGGGAGCAAACAGGAUUAGAUACCCUGGUAGUCCACGCCCUAAACGAUGUCAACUAGCUGUUGGGGCCUUCGGGCCUUGGUAGCGCAGCUAACGCGUGAAGUUGACCGCCUGGGAGUACGGUCGCAAGAUUAAAACUCAAAGGAAUUGACAGGGACCCGCACAAGCGGUGGAUGAUGUGGUUAAUUCGAUGCAACGCGAAAAACCUUACCUACCCUUGACAUGUCUGGAAUCCCGAAGAGAUUUGGGAGUGCUCGCAAGAGAACCGGAACACAGGUGCUGCAUGGCUGUCGUCAGCUCGUGUCGUGAGAUGUUAGGGUUAAGUCCGCAACGAGCGCAACCCUUGUCAUUAGUUGCUACGAAAGGGCACUCUAAUGAGACUGCCGGUGACAAACCGGAGGAAGGUGGGGAUGACGUCAGAGUCCUCAUGGCCCUUAUGGGCCAGGCUUCACACGUCAUACAAUGGUCGGGACAGAGGGUCGCCAACCCGCGAGGGGGAGCCAAUCCCAGGAAACCCGAUCGUAGUCCGGAUCGCAGUCUGCAACUCGACUGCGUGAAGUCGGAAUCGCUAGUAAUCGCGGAUCAGCAUGUCGCGGUGAAUACGUUCAGGUCUUGUACACACCGCCCGUCACCACCAUGGGAGUGGGUUUACCAAGAAGUAGUUAGCCUAACCGUAAGGAGGGCGAUUACCACGGUAGGAUUCAUGACUGGGGUGAAGUCGUAACAAGGUAA
rnacentral:rRNA from 1 species